rnacentral:rRNA from 1 species
CCCCUAGAUGUUCUGGGCCGCACGCGCGCUACACUGAACAGUUCAACAAGUCUUAGCCUUGGCCGAUAGGUCUGGGUAAUCUUUGAACGCUGUUCGUGAUUGGGAUAGACCUUUGCAAUUAUGGGUCUUCAACGAGGAAUUCCUAGUAAACGCAAGUCAUCAGCUUGCAUUGAUUACGUCCCUGCCCUUUGUACACACCGCCCGUCGCACCUACCGAUUGAAUGGUCCGGUGAAAUCUCGGGACGGCGGCUUGGUCGCUUGCGUCCGACUGCUGAAACUUGAUUAAACCAUNUNAUUUAGNGGAAGGUGAANUCGUANCA